UCCCAUGUAGCUCAGUUGGUAGAGCACACGGCUGUUAACCGUGGUGUCGAAGGUUCAAGUCCUUCUGUGGGAGCCA
rnacentral:tRNA from 1 species